GAAUUCUCAACUCCCAAGUUUCUUAUGAAGCCUGGUGAGCUUGGACUUGGAGGCUGUGCAGGCUUUGUAUAAGCCAGCUCCUCUGAAAUGUAUUAGCGUGAACCUUACGGAUCGCCUUCAGUGUGAUAAAUGUCUACGCUGUGGCUGUGAAGUAUUUAUAUGUUCAUGCUUACAAUUGUCUUUCUGAGACAAUCUUUAAC
rnacentral:misc_RNA from 1 species